rnacentral:lncRNA from 1 species
AAAAUCGAAAUUGGAGAAAAUGAAAGACAAAUUGCAAAUAAACUGGAGAAGAUGAACACCAUGGAUUUUCUAACCAAAAAUCCACACUAGGACUGAAGAACACCGGUAAUUUGGUGAGAAGGCAUCGAUUCACAGUCCAAUUUUGUGUGUGAGAGAGAGAGAGAGUGAGAGAGACGGAAAAAAGGUUCAGGUUUUGGCGGAG